rnacentral:sRNA from 1 species
UGGAUACCACUGCAGAAUGAAGUCCCCUGUUAGCCACAGAACAAGUACAGCAUAGAAAGUAACAGUGCAGACUUCCCUGCCACUACCUUACAAAUGUGCUUCCAGCCUGACUUAGAUGAACUAUGAAAGAGUAGUUUUUAUUGUCUAUGAACUCUCUCACUCCUUGACCUUG